AUGUUCGUCCAGGCUUCUGUCCGCCUGUCCCAAUGCAGGAAAGCUGCAGAGCCCCCUCUUGACAAGGGUGGGCGCCCCGGUCAGCAUGGACCAGCUGCACGGAGCCAAAGGAUGCGCCGCUGGGGCCUGUUAACAGACAGAAUCAGCCCCAGGCCACCCUUCGUUCAGAAGCUGAGCUCUAAGUCACCCAUGCUCCUCUCUGUGGCAUAUUCAUUUGGGAUGUCUGUAUACAAGGCUGGGAAUGAGGUCUGUCUUUUUCUCUCUCUUAGGAAAAUUUCUAAACAAAAACCCGAACAUCAACAACAACAAACCAACAUGAUGUCCAGGGCAGUGCUGGCUCUGAGCAUCUUUCUACCAGACUACGUACCUGGCCUGAAGCAGGAGCUAAAAAACGUCUAGUGCAUGAAGGAAAAAUGAACACACGUGACCCUGUGACAGCCGCCCAUGUGACCCUGUGACAGCCGAGUUCUCACAGCAGGAGCCACUGUGGGGAAGCGUCAACAGUGAUCAAAACGACCAUGACCCGAUCUCUGCUUCGGCCGCAGUGGAGGAGCAGUGACCGGGACUAACUCUCCCAGCGGAAACGACUACGGAAGCUCGAUAACACGUGAAAUCUGCUCAUGGACAUCACGGAGCAAACCAGUGCAGGCAGACCCUGAGGAGCUGUGCCCCUGAAAGAAGGAAGCACAUGGGGGUGAGCUCCUAUUCAUUCUGCCUCCUCUGGAGAAACUGAAAAUUCACAAAGGGAGCGAAGCUGAGCAGAGAGCAGCCCGCCUGCCCACGCGGGACAUGCAGGUCUGAGCCCUGGGGUGGGAUGGCUCCCUGGAGGAGGACCACCCACUUCAGUAUCUCUUCAUGUAUAUAUACAACAUAUCUUCUAUAAAUAAUAGAUAUGGUGGUAUAUGUGCAUGAAAAGAUACAAAAAAAAAUCUACAGAAUUAUAAAGUGAAUUUAGUAAGGCUGCUGGAUGCAAAGACAAUACAAAAAUUAAUUUUAUUUCUACAUGCUAGCAAAAAGAAUUAGAUAAUAAAAUACAAACAUCAAACA
rnacentral:lncRNA from 1 species